GAGAAUACGAAGAUAUCUGUUUCGUGUCAAGCGGUAAAUUUCCUACCAAAAGACACAACAUGCCGUCACGCAAAAGGAGAAGACCAGACAGCAGGCAGUGUAGCCUGAGAAGCAGUGAUCCAUGUGUACCUCCCAAUUUGAUGGCAGACAAACCUAUGUUCCAACAAGCCCCAGCAGUAGCAGCAUCUUCAUGUCCCAGCGGCCUCUCCAUGAAGAGUGAUCAUUCCAUGGUCCAGCCUGAACAUUUCAGAGGAGAAGA